rnacentral:lncRNA from 1 species
UUUUGUAAGCACCGUUGCAAUAAGCACAAUGGAUAUUGGCUUGUUGCUUGAAGCCAAGAGGGUCAAAUGGGUCUUUGUCAAGUUCCCUCAUUCGACUAGUGGCUAACUGGUAUUUAGCAAUGUACUCCUCAUCAGCAGCAUGAGCAGCGGGCCGAAUACGGAGUUUGGGCAUAGAAGGAAACUUGUAAUAGGGAACACUGUCCAUAUCACUUGGGAUAGGGGGGCAACAACUGUAUGAAACCUCCUCUUUGUCAUUUAUAUGGGCUUUGCUACAAGAUUUGAGAUCAGGAGGUGGUAUAGGAGCAGCAGUAGCUAAUGGCGCAAGAUUAGCUGCGCCAUACAGCCCUCCUAAACCCAAGAGGACAUUCCUCCUGUCAACAGCGUCAAGGUUUUUGUCAUGCUCGCCACUGUUGGCAUUGCAUGAGAACUUGAAAUUUUGGUUACGUUUUCCAUGAAGGAAUAGCUGAGAGGGUUUUGCAAAGAAAGAUGAGUUGGUGUUGGUGUUGGUGAAGGAAGAAGAGGGAGUUUUAUUGGCGCAUAAAGGUAAAGUAGAAGAAGAAGAAGCCAUUGCUGGGAUGAGUGCUUUUGGUUUGAAGGGUUACAACCUUGAUUUAUACACAAUCAGUAAGUAGCCUGGUAAGGUACAAAGUAUAAACGUGAAGCACGUGGUUGAUUCUUAGUCUUAUCUUGUACUACUAGUAAUAAAAGCUAGCGAGAAAAACCAAACGUAAAUGUGCAUAGAAACAAUAACAAAAGGUUAUCGCGUUUCUGACCCUACAUAUCCAUGAAUUAUUGAAAGGAUUAGAUCUGGUAUAAGCUAAGAAGAAAAAUACUAGUAGAACACUUCUUUAAACGAAACAAUAUAUGUAUAUAACGUGGACGAUAAAGAGCAAUCAACUAGACUUCUUCCCUCCAAAAACUUUGAUCUCUUCAUUGUUUUCCUCUUAAAAGCAUUGGUACGGAAUCCAAUAUUUUUUAUAAGAAACUUUGAUAUUUAGAAUUGUAUAAGUGAAAAAUUAUCAAAAUUUUAUAUUUUAACCCAAUAAUCUUAAGAUUAUAAUGAGUUUAGUGGUAAAAAUAUAAAAAUCCAACUCAUGUUUAAAUCCUGCAUUCACCUUUACUUACCAGAGUCAACCUUACUCAUAUUUGAUCAAUAACUUUUGUAUGCUUAUUUAGUACUAUUAUAUCCUUCCAUUCCAUUUUAUUACUUAGUGUAUAUAUUUUUGGACUAACUGAUUUAACAAAAAAAAAAAAUCGUUAGAACUUAUUGGGCGACAAGUGCGGUUUACAUAUGUUCUGCUAGCUAGUAUCACGGGGGUUCUUUUAUAUAAAUAUUUGAAUCUCUAAAGCUUUUAAUACAUUAACCUAGUAAUUCAAGUAACAAAAAUAAUGGGGGAGAUCCUAGCUAUAGUGACUUUUGAGUUAUUGAAAAGUAGUGGAAAAGGACUACAGCAUGGGGCCACAAAAUGUGCCAAGACAGCACAAAUUGAACCAAUUCAAUAUGUCACCAACCUACAACUAUCAAGCCACAGAGAAGAGAAGAAAACCUACCAGCCUUCACUCAACUAUACACCCAAACAUAAUUUUAAUAAAUUAAUGGGAUAUUUUUUUUUCGGGGAGGGGGGGGGGCGGGGACUUAGGNNNNNNNNNNNNNNNNNNNNNNNNNCUAGUAUGAAUGUAUGAUAUUGAGAGGUUUGGUAGGGGGGGGGGGGACAAGUUUUGGGCUUUGUUUGCUGGUAAAGGGCUGAUGGGUUUGGGAGUCCUUAGUUGGGCUUCACGGGGUAGAAAUGGCCCCCAAAUGGCCACUUUUUUUUUUGGUGGAAUGAAUUUUUUUAUUCAUCACCAGAACAAGUACAAUGGGAAAAUACAAAACAACUCUAGCACCCUGCUAUAUAUAAAACUCCCAUACUUACUCAGCUAAGCACAAGUAAGUCUAUUUGUAUCCUAUUCUGUACAAGUAGUAUUUAUUUCUAUCCCCUAUCUAGCUAUAUACUUUUUCUAUCCAUCUUCUAUCCUUGUCCCGCUUCCGUUUGUUGAUUAUCUCCAUCACAUGAACUUUGCAUUCCUUUUUGAUUUGAUCACAUAACCUGCUUGGUCUAGGCAUUGAAAGGCUUCGUUUCUCCCCUUCCAUAUGUGGUAGUUCAAUGCUGCUAAUACAACAAAGGAGAACUCCCUUCUUAGUUUACUUCCCAUUUUCCCGCCUACUCUUUUCCAUAGAUGUUGUCCUUCAUUGUUUGUGAUUCUUAUCUUUAACCACUGAAGAACUUCAGUGAUACACAAUUUAGAAAAUUGGCACUAAUAGAAUAAGUGUUCAAUUGAUUCUGGGGCAUUUCCACAUAAUAUACAUAAGCCAUCUGAACUGAUCCCUAUGUGAGCUAGCCUAUCCUUUGUGAGCAGCUUCCUUUGCAUAAUCAGCCAGCAAAUGAAGCUAUAUUUUGGAAUAUUUUGCUUAUUCCAAACUCAUCUUCCCCAAUAGCAUUUGUCCAGAUUUCCUUUCAACCAUGAGUACCCUUUCAUGAUUGUAUAUCUACCUGUUUGCGAUUGCCAUCCACCCUGAUUAUAUCCCCAUGCAAGCUUGUCUCCUAUAUGGCAAUUUUUUUUCCAAUAUCAGCUACUAUCUUGUGGUACACUGUAUAGCUACCAAUCAGUGUUCUUUAAGUAUAUAUGAUUGAUCCAUUUGACACACAAAGAAUCAGCCUUUGUCGUUAUAUCCCAAACAUAUUUCCCUAUUGCUGCCUCAUUCCAUGCUAUACAGUCCUUUAUUCCUAUCCCUCCCUAUUGACUUGGCCUACAAACAAGAUCCCAGGCCAUUAAUGGUCUUCUGUUUGUUUUCAUCUUUCCAUCCCAUAGAUAAUUACAACAUAUUGCUGUUAUUUUUUUGAGCAUUGCUUUGAGAAGUAGAAAAAUCGAUGCCCAGUACGUGUGGAGAUGCAUCAACACUGCAUUAAUCAUCUGCACUCUCCCGACAUAAGAUAGGUGCUUUGAACCCCAACUCAUUAUUCUAGUUAUUAUUUUAUCUACUAGUACUUAACAAUCCAUUUUUGGUAGCUUCUUCGAUGAUAUUGAGAUACCUAGGUACUUGAAGGGAAGACUGCCUCUACUAUAGCCAGUUAUUUCACAUAAGCUCUCUAUCUCUUGAGUCUUCAUAUUAACAGCAUAUAUGUUGGACUUUCCUGCAUUAGUUGUUAGCCCUGACGAGUUGGACAAGGUUUGAAGCCCUCUUAUCAUCAACAUAACAGAAUUGAAUUCUCCUUUGCAAAAUAGUAACACACCAUCUGCAAAGCAUAAAUGGUUGAGUUGCAAACUUCUGCACUUAGUAUGGUAGCCAAAACUUUCCUGUUGGGCCACUAACUUCAUAAUUCUUGUGAAGUACUCCAUGCAUAUAACAAACAGUAAAGGGGAGAUGAGGUCCCCUUGUCUCAAGCCUCUCUUCCCUCUUAUGCUCCCAUAUAGCCCUCCAUUAAUAGCCAAAGUAUAUUGAGUAGUUGAUAUACAUUCCAUGAUCCACCUUAUGAAGUUCAUAGGGAAAUUUAGAGCAUGUAAUAUUUCCUCUACAAAUUCCCAUUCUAUGGAAUCAUACACCUUUUUAAGGUCUAUUUUUAUCAAGCAACUCCUAGUCGCUGCUUUCCUAUUAUAUAAUCUGACAAGAUCUUGACAAAUCAAUAUAUUUUGCAGGAUUGUUCGUCCAGCUGCAAACGCACUCUGGUUAUCAGAGAGAAUGCUUGGCAGGAUGACUUUAAGUCACUGCAUAGCAUUUUUGAGAUGAUCUUAUAUAUUGUGUUACAGCAGGCUAUAGGUCUAUAAUCCCCAACUGCUUCUGUAUGGCUACUCUUAAGGAUCACUGUAAUAACUGUGCUAUUGACUGCCUUCAGCAUCUUCUCUGAUCUAAAGAACUCAAGUACUCCCUCCUCAAGAUCUGUUCUUAUAAUGUCCCAACUAUCUUUGAAGAAUUUGCUGCCAUAUCCAUUCAGGACCCGAGGCUUUUUCCCAAUCAAUUUGCCAAAGAGCCUGUUUGAUCUCCUUUUUAGUAAAGUCAUAGCCACUUUU